UCACUGGUGUUCGGGUUGUCAUGCCAAUGGCAUUGCCCGGUAGCUAAAUUCGGAAGAGAUAACCGCUGAAAGCAUCUAAGCGGGAAACUUGCCUCGAGAUGAGUCUUCCCUGGGGCUUUAAGCCCCCUGAAGGAACG
rnacentral:rRNA from 1 species